rnacentral:pre_miRNA from 9 species
UCUCGAUAGCGUAAAAGUUAACUGAAAUUUCUAUGGAGUUGGAACGCUGCCUACGUUUGCCGCUAGGGGCGCUGCUCUAACUGCAUAAAAAAUUGAGUUAACUUUUACGCUAUCGA